rnacentral:lncRNA from 1 species
AGGGAAAAAAAUGCCUGUUUCCCAGAAGUUGACUCUGGUAGCCCCUCCAGGCGGUCCAAACGGAGAUUCCAGUGGUGGGACCCAGGGAGUGGCAAAGUUGCUGACCUCGCCGUCCCUAAAGCCCUCUGCAGUUAGUAGUGUGACAUCGUCUACCUCCUUGUCACGCUGACUCCUCUGCCAAAGCAGGGGUCUCCAAGGAUGCCAUCGUCACAGGCCCUGCCCCCGGGUCCUUCCACCAUGGCCUUGGCCACAGUCUUCUGGCUGGCUUGCACUCCAGCCCGCCCCAUGCAGCGCCUCUCCCACACGCUGCGGUGCCCACCCAUAUCCCGCAGAGUCUGCCAGGUGCUUCUCAGCUUCACGGGAAAGGGCCUGCUGUACCACGGAAAUUGUGACCGCUUCAGAGGCAAGGCUUGCCACUUGGGUCUGGGUGGAAUCAGAACGUGCAGGUCUCCCAGGAUGUACACUCACUGCGCCCUUUCUGCUGCUUGGUGUUCUUCUGGAGGAGCGUGAGUUCUCAGCGGAGCGCUUCUCGGCACUUCUGAUGUGCCUCCCAUGGAGGGAGCCGGGCCCUUGCUGCUCAGGAGGUGCAGACUGCCCCGUGCUCUGGGCCUUGCAGCUCUGUCGCUAGACGGUUGUUAGAGGGGCAGCUCUAGGCUGGGGCUUGCGCUGGGCCGUGGUGGGAGGCACAGUGUUUACAGGCUCUGG